rnacentral:rRNA from 1 species
AGAGUUUGAUCAUGGCUCAGGAUGAACGCUGGCGGCGUGCUUAACACAUGCAAGUCGAACGGUGAAGGGGAAGCUUGCUUCUUUGGAUCAGUGGCGAACGGGUGAGUAACACGUGAGUAACCUGCCCCAGACUCUGGGAUAAGCACUGGAAACGGUGUCUAAUACCGGAUACGAGCUUCAGCCGCAUGGCUAGGAGUUGGAAAGAAUUUCGGUCUGGGAUGGACUCGCGGCCUAUCAGCUAGUUGGUGAGGUAAUGGCUCACCAAGGCGACGACGGGUAGCCGGCCUGAGAGGGUGACCGGCCACACUGGGACUGAGACACGGCCCAGACUCCUACGGGAGGCAGCAGUGGGGAAUAUUGCACAAUGGGCGCAAGCCUGUUGCAGCAACGCCGCGUGAGGGACGACGGCCUUCGGGUUGUAAACCUCUUUUAGUAGGGAAGAAGCGAAAGUGACGGUACCUGCAGAAAAAGCACCGGCUAACUACGUGCCAGCAGCCGCGGUAAUACGUAGGGUGCAAGCGUUAUCCGGAAUUAUUGGGCGUAAAGAGCUCGUAGGCGGUUUGUCGCGUCUGCUGUGAAAACUGGAGGCUCAACCUCCAGCCUGCAGUGGGUACGGGCAGACUAGAGUGCGGUAGGGGAGAUUGGAAUUCCUGGUGUAGCGGUGGAAUGCGCAGAUAUCAGGAGGAACACCGAUGGCGAAGGCAGAUCUCUGGGCCGUAACUGACGCUGAGGAGCGAAAGCAUGGGGAGCGAACAGGAUUAGAUACCCUGGUAGUCCAUGCCGUAAACGUUGGGAACUAGAUGUAGGGGCCAUUCCACGGCUUCUGUGUCGCAGCUAACGCAUUAAGUUCCCCGCCUGGA